rnacentral:rRNA from 1 species
UACGUAGGGGGCAAGCGUUGUCCGGAAUCAUUGGGCGUAAAGCGCGUGUAGGCGGCCCGAUAAGUCCGCUGUGAAAGUCGGGGGCUCAACCCUCGAAUGCCGGUGGAUACUGUCGGGCUAGAGUGCGGAAGAGGCGAGUGGAAUCCUGGUGUAGCGGUGAAAUGCGCAGAUAUCAGGAGGAACACCAAUUGCGAAGGCAGCUCGCUGGGACGUAACUGACGCUGAGACGCGAAAGCGUGGGGAGCAAACAGG